UUGAACGUUGGCGGCAGGCCUAAAACAUGCAAGUCGAACGGUAACAGCGAGAGCUUGCUCUCGGCUGACAAGUGGCGAACGGGUGAGUAACACGUAGGAAUCUACCCAAUAGUGGGGGACAACCCGGGGAAACCCGGGCUAAUACCGCAUACGCUCUCCUAUCGAAGGAUAGGAAAGGAAAGCGGGGGAUCUUCGGACCUCGCGCUAUUGGAGGAGCCUGCGUCGGAUUAGCUAGUUGGUAGGGAAAAGCCUACCAAGGCGACGAUCCGUAGCUGGUCUGAGAGGACGAUCAGCCACACUGGAACUGAGACACGGGUCCAGACUCCUACGGGAGGCAGCAGUUAGGAAUCUUGGGCAAUGGGCGCAAGCCUGACCCAGCCAUGCCGCGUGUGUGAAG
rnacentral:rRNA from 1 species